GUGCCAGCAGCCGCGGUAAAACGUAGGUGACGAGCGUUAUCCGGAUUUACUGGGCGUAAAGCGUGUGCAGGCGGGAUGGUAAGUGGUGUAUGAAAGCUCCGGGCUCAACUCGGAGAGGUUAUGCCAGACUGCCAACCUAGAGGUAGCAAGAGGGACAUGGAAUUCCGGGUGUAGUGGUGAAAUGCGUAGAGAUCCGGAGGAACUCCAGAGGCGAAGGCGGUGUCCUGGUGCUGACCUGACGCUCAGACACGAAAGCAUGGGGAGCGAACGGGAUUAGAAACCCCCGUAGUCC
rnacentral:rRNA from 1 species